CUUACCUUAAUUCUUUUCAAUACUUUUUCAGCCUUUUUUUCUUGCAACUCAUUCUACUCUCAACAUCGGUGACCAGAAAAAAGUUAAAAAAAAAUCCUCAUCUUGACUGGGUCGAACCCGUAAUCUAGUCUUGCAAUUCUUCCAAGAAUCUCGUCGAAUCGCUAGAUUCUUAAAACCCAUUAUCAUUCUCGAAUUUAAUUCGAGAUUUUUCUCCUCUGCUUUUCAAAUCUACAGUUUCUUCCAGUGACUGAAUCAAGAGUCUCCUUCUUCUGUACUAAAAGAUUUAAUUGCGGACUGUGCAUUUAAUUCGGAAAGGAGGACGCUUUAGAUUCGCUGCUGAGAGAAUCAGAGAGUCAUGUCAUGUGAGGGUUUGGUGAAGAGGAAGAAGGAGAACAUGUGACUUACGUUUUGCUUAGGAAAAUGAUAUGAUUGCUUUGACGAGGUGAGCCAUUUGAAUUCUUCUUAGUAUCAUAAAAAUCUUAUCCUUCUUCUGAAAUGAAAAGCAAUGUACAUGUGGAUAAUACAUUGCGUACACUGGGUAGUUCUAUGUACACAUGUACACUUAUGGAUGUUCACGCUAUAGGUCAAUGUACACACGUACAAUAUCAAAUUCUAUAUCCACAUGGACAAUAUAUAAAGAUCUUCAUCUUGUUUCUU